rnacentral:rRNA from 1 species
UGCCUACGGGACGCAGCAGUAGGGAAUUUUCGUCAAUGGGCGCAAGCCUGAACGAGCAAUGCCGCGUGAACGAGGAAGGUCUUCGGAUCGUAAAGUUCUGUUGAAGGGGAAAAAGAGCGGAGAGAGGAAAUGAACUCCGAUUGAUAUUACCCUUCGAGGAAGUCGCGGCUAACUACGUGCCAGCAGCCGCGGUAAUACGUAGGUGGCGAGCGUUAUUCGGAUUGAUUGGGCGUAAAGGGUGCGUAGGCGGCCUGCUAAGUCUGGUGUGAAAGGUACCGGCUCAACCGGGACAG